rnacentral:rRNA from 1 species
GACGAACGCUGGCGGCGUGCCUAAUACAUGCAAGUUGAGCGCUGAAGGUUGGUACUUGUACCAACUGGAUGAGCAGCGAACGGGUGAGUAACGCGUGGGGAAUCUGCCUUUGAGCGGGGGACAACAUUUGGAAACGAAUGCUAAUACCGCAUAAAAACUUUAAACACAAGUUUUAAGUUUGAAAGAUGCAAUUGCAUCACUCAAAGAUGAUCCCGCGUUGUAUUAGCUAGUUGGUGAGGUAAAGGCUCACCAAGGCGAUGAUACAUAGCCGACCUGAGAGGGUGAUCGGCCACAUUGGGACAGAGACACGGCCCAAACUCCUACGGGAGGCAGCAGUAGGGAAUCUUCGGCAAUGGACGAAAGUCUGACCGAGCAACGCCGCGUGAGUGAAGAAGGUUGUCGGAUCGUAAAACUCUGUUGGUAGAGAAGAACGUUGGUGAGAGUGGAAAGCUCAUCAAGUGACGGUAACUACCCAGAAAGGGACGGCUAACUACGUG